rnacentral:rRNA from 1 species
GAGAGCGGCGUACGGGUGCGGAACACGUGUGCAACCUGCCUUUAUCAGGGAGAUAGCCUUUCGAAAGGAAGAUUAAUAUCCCAUAAUAUAUUAAGUGGCAUCAUUUAAUAUUGAAAGCUCCGGCGGAUAGAGAUGGGCACGCGCAAGAUUAGAUAGUUGGUGAGGUAACGGCUCACCAAGUCAGUGAUCUUUAGGGGGCCUGAGAGGGUGAUCCCCCACACUGGUACUGAGACACGGACCAGACUCCUACGGGAGGCAGCAGUGAGGAAUAUUGGACAAUGGGUGAGAGCCUGAUCCAGCCAUCCCGCGUGAAGGACGACGGUUCUAUGGAUUGUAAACUUCUUUUAUACUGGGAUAAACCUACCCUCGUGAGGGUAGCUGAAGGUACAGUAUGAAUAAGCACCGGCUAACUCCGUGCCAGCAGCCGCGGUAAUACGGAGGGUGCAAGCGUUAUCCGGAUUUAUUGGGUUUAAAGGGUCCGUAGGCGGAUCUGUAAGUCAGUGGUGAAAUCUCACAGCUUAACUGUGAAACUGCCAUUGAUACUGCAGGUCUUGAGUAAAGUAGAAGUGGCUGGAAUAAGUAGUGUAGCGGUGAAAUGCAUAGAUAUUACUUAGAACACCAAUUGCGAAGGCAGGUCACUAUGUUUUAACUGACGCUGAUG